rnacentral:rRNA from 1 species
AGCGCAGGCGGUUUGAUAAGUCUGAAGUAAAAAGGCUGUGGCUUAACCAUAGUAUGCUUUGGAAACUGUCAAACUUGAGUGCAGAAGGGGAGAGUGGAAUUCCAUGUGUAGCGGUGAAAUGCGUAGAUAUAUGGAGGAACACCGGUGGCGAAAGCGGCUCUCUGGUCUGUAACUGACGCUGAGGCUGAAAGCGUGGGGAGCAAACA